AAGAGGCUAAUUAUAGGUUUAUUUACUAACUAAAUACAAUUUAUUCUACAUUCUAGGUGGAAAGCUCUGUACACAAUGAUUAAGACUUAUUCCUGGGAUGAUAACAGUAGGAUGAUACUCAAGACCACACAAAGAAGAAUCCAAGAGAAGAACUAGAGAGAAACAACACAAGCAUGAGAUCCCAGUUGACUGGGGAGGUGACAGUAAUGUGGAUUGGACUCUGGAAGGUCUGAGUCUUAAUUCUGCAUUUGUC
rnacentral:lncRNA from 10 species